rnacentral:rRNA from 1 species
UACGUAGGGGGCAAGCGUUGUCCGGAAUUAUUGGGCGUAAAGAGCGUGUAGGCGGUCCGAUGAGUCGGCUGUGAAAGUCAAGGGCUCAACCCUUGAAUGCCGGCCGAUACUGUCGGGCUAGAGUCCGGAAGAGGCGAGUGGAAUUCCCGGUGUAGCGGUGAAAUGCGCAGAUAUCGGGAGGAACACCAAUGGCGAAGGCAGCUCGCUGGGACGGUACUGACGCUGAGACGCGAAAGCGUGGGGAGCAAACAGG